CGGCAACAGCUCAAAUUUGAAAUCUGGCCUCUUUCGGGGUCCGAGUUGUAAUUUGUAGAGGAUGUUUUGGGUACCGCGCUGGUUUAAAUUUCUUGGAACAGAAUGUCAGAGAGGGUGAGAAUCCCGUCUU
rnacentral:rRNA from 2 species